GCCACCGUAGCUCAGCUGGUAGAGCAGCUGAUUUGUAAUCAGCCGGUCGGGGGUUCAAAUCCUCUCGGUGGCU
rnacentral:tRNA from 1 species